AGGGUUUGAUCAUGGCUCAGAACGUACGCUGGCGGCACGCCUAAUACAUGCAAGUCGAACGAAGUAGCAAUACUUAGUGGCGAACGGGUGAGUAUAAUGUGGGUAUCUGCCUUUUGGUGAGGAAUAACACGGGGAAACUUGUGCUAAUACCUCAUAAGCCUUCACAGGGAAAGUUUUAACGCCAAAAGAUGAGCCCGCACUUGAUUAGCUAGUUGGUAAGGUAAUGGCUUACCAAGGCUACGAUCAAUAGCUGAUCUGAGAGGAUGAUCAGCCACAUUGGGACUGAGACACGGCCCAAACUCCUACGGGAGGCAGCAGUAGGGAAUCUUGCACAAUGGGGGAAACCCUGAUGCAGCGAUGCCGCGUGAGUGAAGAAGGCCUUUGGGUUGUAAAGCUCUUUCGUCGGGGAAGAAAAUGACUGUACCCGAAUAAGAAGGUCCGGCUAACUUCGUGCCAGCAGCCGCGGUAAUACGAAGGGACCUAGCGUAGUUCGGAAUUACUGGGCUUAAAGAGCUCGUAGGUGGUUAGAGAAGUUGGUGGUGAAAUCCCAAGGCUUAACCUUGGAACUGCCAUCAAAACUUUUUGACUAGAGUAUGAUAGAGGAAAGUGGAAUUUCUAGUGUAGAGGUGAAAUUCGUAGAUAUUAGAAAGAACACCGAUUGCGAAGGCAGCUUUCUGGAUC
rnacentral:rRNA from 1 species